rnacentral:tRNA from 1 species
GUUUAUAUAGUUUAAAUUUAAAACUCUACAUUUUCACUGUAAAAAUAAAAUAUAUAUAUUUUUAUAAAUA